UACGUAGGGGGCAAGCGUUGUCCGGAAUCAUUGGGCGUAAAGCGCGCGUAGGCGGCCCGGUAAGUCCGUUGUGAAAGUCAAAGGCUCAACCUUUGAACGCCGAUGGAUACUGCCGGGCUAGAGUCCGGAAGAGGCGAGUGGAAUUCCUGGUGUAGCGGUGGAAUGCGCAGAUAUCAGGAGGAACACCAAUAGCGAAGGCAGCUCGCUGGGACGGUAUUGACGCUAAGGCGCGAAAGCGUGGGGAGCAAACAGG
rnacentral:rRNA from 1 species